rnacentral:rRNA from 1 species
UCAGGUGGCCGCAGAGAAUAGGCCCAAGCGACUGUUUACCAAAAACAUAGGUUUCUGCUAAGUCGCAAGACGAUGUAUAGGGGCUGACGCCUGCCCGGUGCUGGAAGGUUAAGGGGAUCUGUUAGAGUAAUCGAAGCAGUGAACUUAAGCCCCAGUAAACGGCGGCCGUAACUAUAACGGUCCUAAGGUAGCGAAAUUCCUUGUCGGGU